AUACGGAGGGUGCAAGCGUUGUUCGGAAUUACUGGGCGUAAAGCGCGUGUAGGCGGAUCGUUAAGUCAGGGGUGAAAGCCCGGGGCUCAACCCCGGAACUGCCCUUGAUACUGGCGAUCUAGAGUCCGGAAGAGGUGGGCGGAAUUCCCGGUGUAGAGGUGAAAUUCGUAGAUAUCGGGAGGAACACCAGUGGCGAAGGCGGCUCACUGGUCCGGCACUGACGCUGAGACGCGAAAGCGUGGGGAGCAAACAGGAUUAGAAACCCUAGUAGUCC
rnacentral:rRNA from 1 species